rnacentral:lncRNA from 1 species
GUGAUCCACCCGCCUCGGCCUCCCAAAGUGCUGGGAUUACAGGCGUGAGCCACCGCGCCCAGCCUAAAUGGGACAUCUUUUAACACUCCUUCCAGAGAAACCUAUAUAUUAGCUCGGCAGGGGCACACUGUUUCCAGCCUGUGCGGCAGCUAGGUGUGACCAUGUGACCAAGUCCUGACCAAUGAUAAAAGGUGGAGACUACAAAGAGGUUUAGUAACACACCAGGUUGCACCCCUCACAAAGGAGGGCAGAUGCCCACCUCUCAUCACAGGCCCAUGCUGGGGCCAUGCACACAGAUUACCUGGAAUGACUGGCCCACAGAACCCAUCAUUGGAUCACAGGCCCAUGCUGGGGCCAUGCGCACAGAUUACCUGGAAUGACUGGCCCACAGACUCCAUCACUUGGGGGUGUUUGAUGAGAGAGACAAAGUGAGAAGGCGAGUUAAAUACGUUUUGAUGAAGAUAGACAGAGCUUCACUCUUGUUGCCCAGGCUGCAGUACAAUGGUGCGAUCUCAGUUCACCACAACCUCCGCCUCCCGGGUUCAAGUGAUUCUCCUGCUUCAGCCUCCUGAGUAGCUGGGAUUACAGAGCCUGACUUUCUCAUCGAAACCAUGGCUGCUUGGACCCAGGCUCUCCCCAUGAGGUAAUAAAUGUGCAAGCACUUUGCAGGGAAAAUAAGUGCCUGACACCUGACAUAAA